AUUGAACGCUGGCGGCAGGCCUAACACAUGCAAGUCGAACGGUAACAGGAAGAAGCUUGCUUCUUUGCUGACGAGUGGCGGACGGGUGAGUAAUGUCUGGGAAACUGCCUGAUGGAGGGGGAUAACUACUGGAAACGGUAGCUAAUACCGCAUAACGUCGCAAGACCAAAGAGGGGGACCUUCGGGCCUCUUGCCAUCGGAUGUGCCCAGAUGGGAUUAGCUAGUAGGUGGGGUAACGGCUCACCUAGGCGACGAUCCCUAGCUGGUCUGAGAGGAUGACCAGCCACACUGGAACUGAGACACGGUCCAGACUCCUACGGGAGGCAGCAGUGGGGAAUAUUGCACAAUGGGCGCAAGCCUGAUGCAGCCAUGCCGCGUGUAUGAAGAAGGCCUUCGGGUUGUAAAGUACUUUCAGCGGGGAGGAAGGGAGUAAAGUUAAUACCUUUGCUCAUUGACGUUACCCGCAGAAAAAGCACCGGCUACCUCCGUGCCAGCAGCCGCGGUAAUACGGAGGGUGCAAGCGUUAAUCGGAAUUACUGGGGCGUAAAGCGCACGCAGGCGGUUUGUUAAGUCAGAUGUGAAAUCCCCGGGCUCAACCUUGGGAACUGCAUCUGAUACUGGCAAGCUUGAGUCUCGUAGAGGGGGGUAGAAUUCCCGGGUGUAGCGGGAAAUGCCCAGAAAUCUGGAGGAAUACCGGUGGGCGAAAGCGGGCCCCCUGGACGAGAACUGGGCUCGAGGGGGGAGGUGGGGGAGAAACAGGAGUAGAGCCCGUUGUAGUCCAAGGCGAAAUCCGCGGGGGAUUCAGCUUUUGGUACCUUGACCGCGGAAGGGGGGCCGGGGCAACGUGGAACCUUUAGCGAACAGACCGAUUACCGGA
rnacentral:rRNA from 1 species